rnacentral:lncRNA from 1 species
CAGAGUUAAUGAGUAUUCAGCUGAUGGUAUAAUUAUGUUCUACAUGGUUUCUACUUAUAAUUGCAGGCAAAACCGUGGGGCGAUAAAAGGCAUUCUGUCCACUGGAAUCCGAAGUCAAGACCCCCGAUAUGGUCUGAGGUAGCAAAUGUCGUUCCAUGCAGGGCAUAGCUCCAGGAGCCACUUUCGUGUUCUUAUAAAUGGACAUCACUGUGACUUUAACAGAGGAAAUGCAAACACAAUGAAUAAGCCUUCCUUUUCACAUUCCAGGAAGUCUAUGGAGAAAGCAAGAAGAAGAAAGAUGUGAGAGUGUCAUGCAUGUUACAUGUUACAAGAAAUACAUUGGUGUGGCAGAGACUCAAGCACUACUCAUCGUGGUCAAGUUACCCAUGACUAGCAUCUUCUCCUCUCACGUGAACAAUCUGGACUGGCGACCAUCUUAACUGGAACAACUGGGUAAGUUUUCAGAGACUUCAACUCUGACUAUUUCUCCUUCAAAGACUCACGUUGAAUGAAAGUGACGCCAUAAUGCCAGAGAGCAUAAAAAGUAAUAGACUCAAGAAAUGACUCACUAGAGACUAUUAAAAAUCCAUAAACAUUUUUAUAGAAAACGAACCAUUUGAAAAAUCAGCCUUCAUAAAACACUUUUAUGAGAUUCUCUAUAUCAUCUUAUGAUUUUAAAUUAAACUGCCUUAUCAAGACUGAGGGAUUAUCUC